rnacentral:other from 1 species
UACAGGCUGCGUUGUUCGUAGUGAUAAUAAAGUUUUAACCUUUAAACUGUAACAGGGAGUUUUACUAUCGAAACCAUAAUGACAAGCCUCUGUCUAUAUUGACAUGGAGGACAUGCAGGAACGUUUCUGCGAACACCCACUUUGAGGAGUGGUGGUUUAAAACUUUCUUAACUGAGUUACGGCAAAUGCGGCUUUAUC